GUAGCUUAGUGGUAGAGCGCUUGCCUAGCAUGCAAAAGAUCCUGGGUUCAAUCACCAGC
rnacentral:tRNA from 1 species